rnacentral:rRNA from 1 species
ACGGAAGGCAGCAGUGAGGAAUAUUGGUCAAUGGGCGAGAGCCUGAACCAGCCAAGUCGCGUGAAGGAUGAAGGUUCUAUGGAUUGUAAACUUCUUUUGUUCGAGGGUAAAGUGAGUCACGUGUGGCUUAUUGCAAGUAUCGAACGAAUAAGCAUCGGCUAACUCCGUGCCAGCAGCCGCGGUAAUACGGAGGAUGCGAGCGUUAUCCGGAUUUAUUGGGUUUAAGGGUGCGUAGGCGGGAUGUUAAGUCAGCGGUAAAAUAGUGUAGCUCAACUAUACUUCGCCGUUGAAACUGGCGUUCUUGAGUGUAAACGAGGUAGGCGGAAUGUGACGUGUAGCGGUGAAAUGCUUAGAUAUGUCACAGAACCCCGAUUGCGAAGGCAGCUUACCAGGAUACAACUGACGCUGAGGCACGAAAGCGUGGGUAUCAAACAGGAUUAGAUACCCUGGUA